CGCCUCAUUUUCCUUAAUCUUUAAUCAAAAUCCAUUUUUUUAUAAAACUUACGUAAAGUUAUGUACGUAUAGGAUUGCUGUUGCCUCUCGCCUCUCUUUUCUUUUGCGUUCCCCACUCGAGCUCUCACCUCGCCGCUCGUCGCCGUCCCCAAAUCCGCGACGGAGAUGGUCGAGUCCCUGUACACGCCCUCCCUGACCAUCGCUCCACCAUCCGCCGUCAAACUCCGCUGCCAACGAUGCAUUCCCAACGGCCGUUCCUCUGCCAGAUCCACACCCCAUCGACCGGAGCGGGGUGAGUGGCAACCGGAGGCCCACCGCCAACGUCGCCUUCCCAACUCCCUUGGCUCUUCCAAAUCGACCACCCCAUCCAUUGGAGCGGGGUGGAUGGGGAGCCGGAUGCCUGGGAGGCGCCAGGUCGCCCGUCGGAUGUCCUAUCAAAAAAGCAACAGAGGCGCCCAAUGUCUCCCACGUUCAUGUAUUUUUGUUUUCUUGCGAGGUCUUGUGAUUUGCUCAUGGAUGGAUUGUGUGCUUCGUUUUUGUUACAGUUAAUUGCAGGGGUAGCCUGACAAACGAAUGCCGACUGGUGUUCAUUCUCCCAAUUUCUAAUGCAGCCGACCAAACAUCUGUCCUAUACAUCAUCUCUCAUGCACAUAUACCCUACAGUUCACCGAACAUGCAUCAUCCUUGCAUCAGCUCAAGAAGGAACUCGCCGGUGAAGAUGGCGGCGCGGCCGACGGCAGCAGCGAGGUCGCUGGCCGGCCCAGAGCAUGACAUCUCUGGAAGAAAAUGAAAGAUUGUAUCAAGAAGAUGACGCCGAGAAGGAGGUGGAAACAACAAAGCUCACCCCACAGCUAACUGAACAUCUAAUGCAAACACGGCGAUAUAUGAUUGCACAUCAUUGUUUCGUUUCAUUGCUCACUGCUUGUGAGUUUUGUAUCUUCGAACUGCAGAAACAUGCAUUCCAAGAAUAGAAUGGGAAUUCCACUUACGAAGAAAGGAAGCAACUGCUGUCCCAAUGCCCACAUAUACGAAGUUGAGAACAACCUGGAGAUCAAAAGAGCACUCUGUUAACUGAUCAUACACUCUUCAAGUUAAGUGAUCUGAUCACCGUAAGCUGUGGAGACGUGGCACACCUUGGUGACAGCGGGGAGGACGGUGCUGGUGGUGCUCUCGCCGAAGGAGUUGAUAGCAUCUCCAAAGAAGACCAAUAUGAGGGACCCCGACGCGCCGUUGCCCACCGCCCCCAGUGAGCCAAUCACCAUGAGGAGGAUGUCAAGGCGGUCGGCAUACCUGAGCAUGCCGAACAACGGCACCUUCUUCUCCGGCGGCAGGUCAUCUUUUCGUUGCUCGCCGCCGUGGUGUGCUCCUUCUCCACGGCUAGCUUCUGCUGCCGCGUCCAUUUUUUUCUGGCAGCUACUGAUUGCGUUGCUGGUGUGCUUGACGAACCCAGCCCGCGCGGUGUCGUGUGUGAUUCUUGUUCCCCGGUUUGAGGGUGGAGGCAUUGUAUAUAGGCAUUUCGCCAGCCGCCCACACAGAGGGCUUUGACUCUUCUUGGGAAGGAACCGGGAAAGUUUGCGAUGGAAAAAUACUUUUGUGCGCAUGGAUUUAUCGUUGGCAUGUGGUGAUUUGUACAGCUGCGACAAUUCAAGAUUCACAGCCUA